AUUUGAUGUGAGAGGGAGAGGGUUGUGCCGCUGUCCUCCGAGUUUGACCAGUGAUGUGACAGUAAUUCCAUAGAAACAUUGAAUUGGAAUUUUUUUCAGUACUGGGAAAAAAAAAUACAACACGUUUGAAAUAUUAAACAAAAAUAUAUUUGUCGAAGUGUUGGUGAUUAGAAAAAAAAAUAUAAAAUAAGAAUAAAUUUACGAGUGUUGUUGGAAAGUGAAGGAAAAAAAAAUUAGUGCAUUGGUGACGUGGUAAAGAAAAAUAAGACCUAUCUUCUUCUGGUGCUUCAGUGUUGAUGAAGCACCUGUAAGACUCUUUUGACCCUGCCUCAUACAGUGUUCCUGAUUGGUCAUAUUGGGUUCAUCUGUGUUACUGAUUGGUCAAACCUAAGUUCCUCUUGGUGUUGUUAUUGGUUAAAUCCAAAUCCAACGCUGCUGAUUGGUCUAAGGCAUUGACACAAAACAUUCCGAACAAUUAACGAAAAAAAGAAGAAGAAAA